GUCCCUGUAGUUAAAUGGAUAUAACGGCCCCCUCCUAAGGGGCAGUUCUGGGUUCGAUUCCCGGCGGGGGCGCCA
rnacentral:tRNA from 3 species